UAGUUGAUCAUGGCUCAGGACGAACGCUGGCGGCGUGCUUAACACAUGCAAGUCGAGCGACGCUCCUCCUUCGGGAGGAUGACGGAGCGGCGAACGGGUGAGUAACACGUGGGCAACCUGCCCCUAGCUCUGGGAUAACCCCGAGAAAUCGGGACUAAUACCGGAUAUGAGGUCGGAGGGCAUCCUCUGACUUGGAAAGUUUUUCGGCUAGGGAUGGGCCCGCGGCCUAUCAGCUUGUUGGUGGGGUAACGGCCCACCAAGGCGACGACGGGUAGCCGGCCUGAGAGGGCGACCGGCCACACUGGGACUGAGACACGGCCCAGACUCCUACGGGAGGCAGCAGUGGGGAAUAUUGCACAAUGGGCGAAAGCCUGAUGCAGCGACGCCGCGUGAGGGAUGACUGCCUUCGGGUUGUAAACCUCUUUCAGCAGGGAC
rnacentral:rRNA from 1 species